GUUCAAACAAAACAGGUCUAACCAGGUUAUGACUGUGUCUCAAGAACAGAGACAACCUGUUAAUGGAUGAGGAAUUGAUUCGGUGGUUGGUGACUGUGCUCUUCAGCUUGGAGGCAGUUUCAGGUGAAAAGCACCUCAGCCCCCAAAGCCGCCAGGAAGGGGGGUAUAAAAACCCAAGUCUCUGUCGGGCAGAUGAAGGCAGAGGGCUAUGGAGGUGCUGUUGAACAUCUGUCUCCUUUUCUAACCUGUGUUUAGUCCUCUCCGCUUUGGCAUCAAGACCUUUGCCCUGGCCGUGCAGGUACCAAGCAUGGAAGGUGCUUUUAGCCCAUUCUCUCUCUGGGCAGCAUGACCGGCUCUUUGUAGUAACUCUUGACAGUUUCAGAGGACUUUGAACAGGCUUUUCCUCCAGCCCAGGUCAGUGCUGCUGCCAACUUGAUCAGAUGCAUGUUUGCAGCAGGAGUGGUUACUACUGAGACUUGUACUGCUCAAAAGAAUAAGCUGCGGUUGAAAACUCAGCCAUAAGUGAGACAUCUAUCUGAUCCUUUCCAAAGCCUGGAAAACACUGUGGAAGGAGUGGAAAAACCGCAGGAAAAAGGACGGUGCUGUGGAGUGCCGGAUUCUGAUCAUGACACAGCCUUUGGACUCGUGAACUCAGCACCUGUGAUCACCUGCAUAAGAUUGGACUCUCACAUUCUGUCAUGGAGCGGGGAGGAGCUCACCAAGUCUGAGGAUUUACAGUGAAUGGUAGCCAAGGGGAAAGACUCAAACCCUUCACCAAGAUCUAAAGGCAUGAUUGGUAGGGACUGGAGACACUUUUUUCAGUGGUGUAACCAAGGGUAAAAUGUCCACAUAUAAUUCCUCAUCCAUGUGCCUAUAAACAACUCUAACCACACAAACACACACACACACACACACACACACACACACACAAGGACAUGAAUAUAUAAGGGAAUUAGGGGAUCAGGAGGAUAUAAGAGAGGGUAAUAGAAGAUGAAUUUGUCAAAACACAUUAUAUACGUGUGUGAAAGUGUCAUAAUGAAAUCCAUUAUGUAAAACGAAUAAAUGCUAAUCAGAAAUACUUUUAAAGAUGCAA